rnacentral:rRNA from 1 species
ACUCGAGUGGCGAACGGGUGAGUAACACGUGGGUGAUCUGCCCUGCACUUCGGGAUAAGCCUGGGAAACUGGGUCUAAUACCGGAUAGGAGCCAUUUUUAGUGUGAUGGUUGGAAAGUUUUUCGGUGUAGGAUGAGCUCGCGGCCUAUCAGCUUGUUGGUGGGGUAAUGGCCUACCAAGGCGGCGACGGGUAGCCGGCCUGAGAGGGUGUACGGCCACAUUGGGACUGAGAUACGGCCCAA